CGGAGCAGCAGAGCAGGUAGGAUGGUCUGGCGCAUGCGCGUUUUUCAAAAAGCGAGUAACAGACGUUUGGCUUCGACUUUAUCGAGAAAAUCCUCCAUUAUACCUUUAAGGAAAACACUUUUUCCUAACUUGUAAGGGUCAUUUCACAGUCUCCUAAAGCAGUGGCUCCCAAACCUUUUUGCCUGUGACCCAAAGGGGAAUUAUGACAUUUGCCAGGACCCAAACUAGUGAAAACAACAGAUCUACAAGCCCACAACACAUCAUGAAAUAAAUUGGCUGUGCCGUUCUUUGGCUUCCAUCUUAACUUUUUAUUUUGGCAUCUCUCUACUCAGGGCAGUUUCUUCUGUUUGACACAGUUUCUUCUCAUUGACUUGCACUACCCUGUAAAUAUCUGUCGCAUAUCUAUAGUUAUGUAUCUUCUCCCUCAGACGAAAGGAGGUCGUUGCUGAAGAUGUGCAUGUCUCCACAAUCAGCCAGAGAUGGCCAGCCCUAUUCCUGUUGGGUCAGGUACAUGCAGAAUUCAGAAGAGUAACAGGAAAAGAAUUGAUGGAAACGUUCUUCCCCUCCUUGGAUGAGCACACCAGAGCUCCGCACCGUAGCUCACCACCCCACUCAAGUGACACUAAGGAGUCUGUUGGAGUACCGAGACGAGCAGACCACAGAGAUCGUUAAACAUCGGAGGGUGGUGGCUGUCAAAGGGCUGCAGUAUUACCUGGGGGAGAAAACCGAGCUUUUCUAUAGCCAGAUGGUGUGUACGAAGCCUCAAGCCCCAUGCCAAUGGGUAUCCUGGAGAUUGUGGGGCCUCCGGGAGGCCUGGAAGCUGCGCCAUUGCUACCUCCUUACGAGCCUUGAACCCCAGACUUUCCUUUACAGCUUAUACUGUCAGCUAUUGGAUUUGCUCUGUUUUGCACUCUUUUCAAAUGUUGUGUAAUUUUUUUGAAUUUAAAUGUUUUGUU